UUAAAGAUUCAACUUGCUUGUUGUUUUUUCCAACCGGAUUGUUCGAAGCUUACACUAUCCUAUCACUGAUUCAGUAAAUGUUUGAUCGUUUUGAACCCUAAGGUUGUGGCAUGUAUAUAGUUGUCUUGAUAUGUAUAAUAAUUUAUGAGUUGAUUAUGGUAUUGAACUUGGUAUA